UGUGAUGGGGAGCGAAAUUUAGUAGCGAAGUAGCUGAUUUCACACUGUCAAGAAAAGUCUCUAUCGAGGUUAAAGGUACCCGUACCGCAAACCGACACAGGGGGGUGAGGAGAGUAUCCUAAGGCCAGCGAGAGAACUGUUGUUAAGGAACUCGGCAAAAUGACCCCGUAACUUAGGGAUAAGGGGUGCCACCAUCAGGUGG
rnacentral:rRNA from 1 species